rnacentral:rRNA from 1 species
CCUACGGGAGGUAGCAGUGGGGAAUAUUGCACAAUGGGGGAAACCCUGAUGCAGCGACGCCGCGUGAGUGCAGAAGUAUCUCGGUAUGUAAAGCCCUAUCAGCAGGGAAGAAAGAAGACGGUACCUGACUAAGAAGCACCGGCUAACUACGUGCCAGCAGCCGCGGUAAUACGUAGGGGGCGAGCGUUAUCCGGAUUCACUGGGUGUAAAGGGAGCGUAGACGGCCGUGCAAGCCAGGAGUGAAAGCCCGGGGCCCAACCCCGGGACUGCUCUUGGAACGGGGCGGCUGGAGUGCGGGAGGGGCAGGCGGAAUUCCUGGUGUAGCGGUGAAAUGCUUAGAUAUCAGGAGGAACACCGGCGGCGAAGGCGGCCUGCUGGACCGCGACUGACGUUGAGGCUCGAAAGCGUGGGGAGCGAACAGGAUUAGAUACCCCAGUAGUC